GGUAGGAGACGAAAGCAUUAUCAAUCUUUACCACAUCGUUUACUUUUAUUUUUUAUAUCCUUCAAGUAUUUUAUUGACCUCUAUUGGUUCUAUUUGUUGAAAAAGUAAGUCUGGUGGGAUAAAGAGGGUAAUAAAAAUGUUGGAGAUCUCUCUUGUAUUCAAGAAAAUAUUAUUCCAAAUUUAGAUCUCUGAAAAGAAAAUGUAGUUGAAUUAAAACACCAUUUGAAGGAAGACAUUAAUUUUGAGUUGGUUUCUGAACCAGAAUGGAGUACUUGUUCAGCGGUACCAGCUUGCUCCUGGAAAGGACCUGUAGCCUGAAUGGUAUUUGUUUAAUACAAAAACAGAAUGAAUUGAUGUCUACUUUUUGAAGGAUUUAGAGGUUGUAGACUAUGGAAUAACGACCAGUUAUCUGUGAGAAGAAAUUCACCUGACCAACCUUUAAAAAGCCUAAGAUCCUGAGAAUAAGAAAACAGGUAAAGAUAUUAAGGAACGACAAUAUUCUAGCUGUUGAAAAAUCCUUCAUGAAAUAUUUAAAAUAUCUGGAAAUAGCCAUAGUGAUCUAUGAAGGACAUCAGACAAUCAAGCUAAGAAAAAAUUAUCUAUGAAAAAGCAGUCAAUCCAGGAAGUAAGUUGAAUAACAAACCAAACCUGGGUGGCCAAAGUAAAGAACAAGAGUGGAACAUGACCAAGAAAGUCAUAUUCAUGAAUCCCAAAGGCAUCUUAUUCAUCAAUGUAGAUGCUGAUAUUUCUUCCAAAACAACAAUGAACUAUCUUGUAUGGAGAUCAAUGGCAUAUGUUCUGUUACUAAGGUGUUAUAGUCCAACCUUGUUGGAUCCCCUUCGAAGCUGAAUUUAAGCUAGAAGCUUUCACUCAAACAAAGUAACUCGAUAAAUCAUUUACUCAAACUCAUCUUAACAGUUUGUUUCUCUGCCUUUCGUCAAUCUGCGAGUAAAUCCCGAGUUUCAGCAAAGUAUAACAAAAAGUUUCCUAUCUUGGGAAUCAAGCAGUAAAACAUCCUUCAUCCGCUUCACAAAUGCGAAAAUCUCAUUUGUGUCCAAGUUGGUCUGCUGUGGCUGAAGCGUUGGCAGUAUCCUAAUAUGACAUGCGGUAUUUCCCCGCCAGACGCGUGGAGGAGCUACGGUAUACGAAUAUUUUCAAAGUGGAUUUACUACCUAAAGACAUCAUUUGCACCCCCAUAAACUAGUUAGGGAUAUUAGGAUACUGCCAGGAAAUUUACAGAACAAAUAUGCAAUUGGCACAAUAACUUUUAUCUUUAACCUAAGUUAAAAAACUAAAAACCCUAGGCAAAAAUUAAGAAUUCUCGUUCAAUUUGGAAUAGAAAUUAUGUAUUUUUAACUAAAUCUAGAUUUUUGCCAAA
rnacentral:lncRNA from 1 species